rnacentral:rRNA from 1 species
CAGCAGCCGCGGUAAUACGAAGGGUGCAAGCGUUACUCGGAAUUACUGGGCGUAAAGCGCACGUAGGCGGCUCGGUAAGUUAGAGGUGAAAGCCCGGAGCUCAACUCCGGAAUUGCCUUUAAGACUGCCGAGCUAGUAGGUGAGAGAGGUAAGUGGAAUUCCGAGUAUAGAGGUGAAAUUCGUAGAUAUUCGGAAGAACACCAGUGGCGAAGGCGGCUUACUGGCUCAUUCUAGACGCUGAGGUGCGAAAGCGUGGGGAGCAAACAGGAUUAGAUACCCCAGUAGUCCCUGUCUCUUAUAC